rnacentral:piRNA from 1 species
UGAAGGACAGGCAUAAAGCAUGC